rnacentral:rRNA from 1 species
AGUGAACGCUGGCGGUAGGCCUAACACAUGCAAGUCGAACGGCAGCACAGUAAGUGCUUGCUCUCACGAGUGUCGAGUGGCGGACGGGUGAGGAAUACACCGGAAUAUACUUUUUCGCGGGGGAUAAUGCAGGGAAACUUACGCUAAUACCGCAUACGACCUCCAGGUGAAAGCAGGCGAUCUUCGAACCUUGUGCGAUGGAAUUAGCCGACCUCGGAUUAGCUAGUUGGCGGGGUAAAGGCCCACCAAGGCGACGAUCCGUAGCUGGUCUGAGAGGAUGAUCAGACAGACUGGAAGUGAGAAUGAGUCGAGACACCUAGAGGGGGAAGCAGUGGGGAAUAUUGGACAAUGGGGGAGAGCCUGAUCCAGCAAUACCGCGUGAAUGAUGAAGGAGUUAGGGUUGUAGAGCCCUGUUGUUGGGAGAGAAGAACAGCAGGUUAAUACCCCGCGGUUCUGACGGUACCCGAAGAAUAAGCACCGGCUAACUUCGUG